GCCAGGUCGAGGAGGAGCCGUGCGUCGAGUGGGACUUCGACAACUCCACCUUCAGCUCCACCGUUGGCACUGAGUUCCAGCUUGCCUGCGGUUGGGAGUACCUUCGCUCGACGUACCAAAGCAUCUACAUGUUCGGCGUCACGAUCGGGGCGCCGUUCAACGGGGUUCUGGCCGACAGGUACGGGCGUAAGAUGAC